rnacentral:rRNA from 1 species
UCUCUCUGAAUCUGCGAACGGCUCCGCAAACCAGUUGUAAACCAUAGCGAGCACGCCCCCGGCCCUCGGGCUGGGGGCGAUAAGGAUAACCCUGGUAAUUCUGAGGCUAAUACUUGACCGUAACACCUGGCCGACCGGCAACGGGAGGCUGGGGGUCGUGUAAGCACCUCACGCAGAAUUCACCGGGAAGGGAUGCACGUUCAGACCACCACAAACAACGGUUGCAGGAGGACCCGCGCAAGCGGCGAUACCUGCUUCCGGGUGGCUCUCGCUCGGUGCUUCUGACCUAUCAACUAGAUGGCAGUGUAAGGGACAUGCUAUGGUUACAACGGGUACAGAGGAUAAGGGUUCGAUCCUGGAGAGUGGGCCUGAGAGAUU